UAUUACAAUGACAAAGGGGUGUUUAGAAGUGGUGUUUCAGUACUGCUGAUUGGUAAACAUUUAGAUUAGUCGGUGACCAGGAAAUACAAAAGAUUGAUAUAAAUGUUGAUGUUGCUGAUUAAAUUCUUGUACUUGUAAUGCAGUCUUAGAGGUGGCAAAGAUAAGAUCGUAAGAUCAAGCUUUUAUAUUUGAGGCAAUUAGCCAAAAUAAAGCCCAUCUUAUUGUAGCCGGAUGGGCUACUCGCCUUUCUUUUCUCUCUCUUGCUCGCUCGCUCUACUGCUCUCUCCUGCGCUCGCUCUCACUGCAAAACUAGGUCAAUUGGGAACCCACCUGCAUACUGAUUGCAGGCUGGCAUCAGGUAUAAAGCUAAGCUGGUGCUUCUCUGGACCAUUCCUCCCAUGCAUUCAGCGCAAAGCAGCAGUAAAUGCUGGCACUCUGCGACGGACUGAUCAGCAAGAGUAGAUCGUAUGACAGCCACAGCGCGGCAGGUUGUUUUAUUCCGGCGUUGCUUAGAGAGGUGCUUGUGUGAUCCUCCACCAGUGAGAGUAUAGCGCCUCCGGUCCUGGGGGUUUGAUCGCUGCCUUCACCUCCGUGGCAACUCACACAGCUUUAAUUGAAGAAUCAAGACGCCUGCCUAGCCGCUGUUGUGAGGACUCCUCCUCAGUGGAGCCUGCUGUCUUGUCUUGUCUGGUUUUGAAUUGUUUUAUCGUGCCUUAUCUUGUUUUAUUAAGUAGGCCUACCAUUUCCUGGUUCGCCUGGUUUUAUUUUAUCUCUGGACUGUUGCGUGUGCCCACGCUUCUGUGAUCGGGCUGAAGCAAUCCUUUGCCCGAGUGUCGUGCCGGGAAUUUUAAAUUGCCUCCGUUGCUGGUCUUAGCCUGUGGGGAGCCAGACCAGCUUGCGAUUGAGGCUUGGACAACUACUACCAGUACGAGUGGACCCGUGGGGCAUAAGCCUUCCAGUGUGUGGACGAAGGACGUGCCAGUGGCCCUGGGACCUCAGGUGGUGAGUCGUUUUCACACUUUCUUUUGUACAGCACCUGGUGGGCUGCAGUGAUUUUUGUUUUGUGUGAUUUUCUUUUGGGUCCACGGCUGCUGGUAAGUCCAAGUUCCAUGAUUGUUUUAUUUUCACUUUAGGACACUGUCAACAAUGACGCUACAUCUUGGUUUCUAAAUAUUUUAUUUUUACUAUAAAUAAAACUGUUUUAAUAUUGGAGCCAACCUGCCUCAGUGUGCAUCCUUGAAUCUGUGCGGCCUCUUUUUAUUCCUUUUUUUAAUCUAUUUUUCUUAAACAUAUAUUUCCUGGGGGUGAAAUUCCCUUAGGUGGCGUUGUCAUUUUAUUAUUUCUUUUAGAACCCCGCCGACCACUUGGUCACAUUAUCAAAGGAGUGUUAUGAGACAGUAAUACAUGCCUUUGUUACAUCUAGGCUGGAAUAUUGUAACACACUUUAUUGUGGGGUUAGUGAUGCAUCCGUUGUUGUGGAAUAAUCUGUACUUGCACGUUAGGCAGGUUCUUUCUGAGUUUAAAACUUAUCUGAAAACAUAUUGAUUUGCUGAAGCCUUUGGCACUAUUUUAAGGGGUUGACUCAACUUUCUUUAAAAACAUUUUUAAUUUUUAUUUCACUUAUUUUUUUCAAAUCUACCUGUGUGUAUAUAUACAGUACUUUGUAAAGUGCUGUAUGAACUUUAACAUAAAACCAUAUAAAUAAAGCUGGUACGGUCGGAUGGAUGGAAUAAUAGAGGAGUAUGGAUAUCCAAUCUUGAGGAACGGAGAGGCAAGAGCAGUGAAAAAUAAGGAAAAGGCAAAUGUGUUGGCAAAACGUUUGUUAAAAUCCACAGUUCAGGCAAUAUUAGAGAAGCAGGGCGAAGAGGAAGAGAAAUGCCAUCAUAGAGAAUAGGGAUUUACUGAAACAGAAGAUACGGAUGAUUUAUCAAAUCACCUUAAAAAUGAGGUUGUGUCCAUACAUGAACCAGGAAAGGAUGAUACAAAUCCAGGAAAUUACAGAUUCAUGGCUUUAACAUCUGGCAUCUUUAAAAUAACGGAGCGAAUAAUAAAUGACAAAUUAAUGUAUUAUACAGAAAAUAAAGGAUACAUAUCUAAACAUCAAAGUGGUUUCAGAAGAGGGAGGAAUACAAUGGAUAAAGAAAGGAGGGGACGAUGCUUGUAAUAACAUUCAAAGGAGAGCAGGAGGAAUGAGAAGCACAGUUUGGAGGAGGUGGUUAUGUCUAGAAUAAGGUUUGGACAUACUGGUUUGAACACAAAACUAUUCAUGACAGGGAAACAUGAUUACUGCAGAGAAGGGUGAACUAUAGAACAUGUUAGAUUACACUGUCAGAAAUAUCAGGUGGAGAGAAGGUAACUGAUCCAAAACCUCAGUAACAUAAAAAUGAAACUGGAUCUUAUUGAUUUACUGCAAAAGGACUCAAGACGUGAG